rnacentral:rRNA from 1 species
GCCUGAAAUCUAGCCCACAAAUUCAUAUGCCCUCACACUACCCAAACAAGCAAACAAAACAUUUUAACAAUUUAGUACAGGCGAUCGAAAAACUUCUAAGCGCUUCAGAUAAAGUACCGCAAGGGAAAUAUGAAAUAGAAAUGAAACAAUCCUAAAGCCCCAAAUAGCAGAGACACCCCCUCGUACCUUUUGCAUCAUGGUCUAGCCAGUCUACCCAAGCAAAAUGAAAUUUUCAGUUUGACUCCCCGAAACCAAGCGAGCUACUUCAGAACAGCCAAAAGGGCCAACCCGUCUCUGUUGCAAAAGAGUGGGAAGAUUCUCAAGUAGAGGUGAUAAGCCUACCGAGCUAGGAGAUAGCUGGUUGUUCAAGAAAAGAGUUUUAGCUCAACCUUAAGUUUUUUUAUUAAACUAAACAGACCCUCAGACUUAAGAGCUAUUCAAAUAAGGCACAGCUUAUUUGAAAUAGGAUACAACCUACGACAUAGGGUAAGCAAGAGUUACUUAAAUAAAGUGGGCCUAAAAGCAGCCAUCUUUAAAAAAGCGUUAAAGCUUAACUACCCCCCACUCACAAUACCUAAAAUCUUCACUAACCCCUCACUACUAUUGAACAGUUUUAUACUUAUAUAAAAGCUAUUAUGCUAGAACUAGUAACAAGAAAUUGCCCUUCUCCUAAAUGUAAGCAUACACCAAAAUAAACUCUGUUGGUCAUUAACGUAAAUGCUAAACUAUAGUAACACUCGCUAGAAAACCCUAUAAUUCCCAACGUUAACCUUACACCAGAACAUUACAGGAAAGAUUAAAAGAAAAAGAAGGAACUCGGCAAACCUUAGCCUCGCCUGUUUACCAAAAACAUCGCCUCUUGCAAAACAUAAGAGGUCCAGCCUGCCCAGUGACAAAGUUCAACGGCCGCGGUACCCUAACCGUGCGAAGGUAGCAUAAUCACUUGUUCUUUAAAUGAGGACUCGUAUCAACGGCACUACGAGGGCUAUACUGUCUCCUUUUUCUAAUCAGUGAAACUGAUCUCCCCGUGAAGAAGCGGGGAUCAAAAUAUAAGACGAGAAGACCCCAUGGAGCUUUAAACUCUCUGUGCGCUUCUAUGCUCCCACACCAUCAGACAUAAGAAAACUGCACACUAGUUUUAGGUUGGGGGGACCACGGAGUACAAUUUAACCUCCAUAACAAAUGGGUUAAUCACCCUUAUCCACGAGACACACCUCUAAGAAUUAUUAUACUAAUGCUUAUGACCCGAUAUUCGAUCAAUGAACCAAGUUACCCUGGGGAUAACAGCGCAAUCUACUUCAAGAGCCCAUAUCGACAAGUAGGUUUACGACCUCGAUGUUGGAUCAGGGUAUCCCGGUGGUGCAGCCGCUACCAAUGGUUCGUUUGUUCAACGAUUAAAACCCUACGUGAUCUGAGUUCAGACCGGAGUAAUCCAGGUCGGUUUCUAUCUAUAAAGCGCUUCCCCUAGUACGAAAGGACCGGGACAGCAUGGCCAAUGCCCUAACAAGCCAUCAUCUAUCACUAAUGAAACUAUCUCAAUUGACCCAGACCUACCACCCUCCCCUAGACCAGGGCA